AGUGAACGCUGGCGGUAGGCCUAACACAUGCAAGUCGAACGGCAGCACAGUAAGAGCUUGCUCUUACGGGUGGCGAGUGGCGGACGGGUGAGGAAUACAUCGGAAUCUACUUUUUCGUGGGGGAUAACGUAGGGAAACUUACGCUAAUACCGCAUACGACCUACGGGUGAAAGCAGGGGAUCUUCGGACCUUGCGCGAUUGAAUGAGCCGAUGUCGGAUUAGCUAGUUGGCGUGGUAAAGGCCCACCAAGGCGACGAUCCGUAGCUGGUCUGAGAGGAUGAUCAGCCACACUGGAACUGAGACACGGUCCAGACUCCUACGGGAGGCAGCAGUGGGGAAUAUUGGACAAUGGGCGAAAGCCUGAUCCAGCCAUACCGCGUGGGUGAAGAAGGCCUUCGGGUUGUAAAGCCCUUUUGUUGGGAAAGAAAAGCAGCAGGUUAAUACCCCGCUGUUCUGACGGUACCCAAAGAAUAAGCACCGGCUAACUUCGUG
rnacentral:rRNA from 1 species